UCCCUUUGUGCAUCUUUCUGGCUGCAUUUCACUGCUGUCUCUUGUACUGUUGUUACCUCUAACUUCCAUCUCUCUCCUCUUCCACAGAUCAGACAGUACAAAGCAUAUAUAGUCAUUUCUUUAUCUAGUUUGAACACAGGCAUCAGGAAAUAGACUACUGAUUAUGUAAGUUAUAUAAACUAUCCUGAACUGAGUCAGGGCAUUAUCAAAUGUAGGAAGGCCUGCACUCCUGCAAAGCCUGGAAUCCCAUGCAGACGAGAUCCACUGGGAGAAGGAGUGCUUUCUCAGCAAGGAAGAUUGGCCUCUUUAUACUGGAAGACCUUUGUCAGCGGUAUAUGCAUUUCACAGCACUUCCACCUUCUUUGUACAAGCUUGGUUAAAUACAUCAGUCUCAGGACUUGGUCACUUUUAACUUUUGGAAGUUGAAAGGCAGUCCCCUGAAGGCAAGACUCAGUCUGGAUUAAUGCCAAACUGCAUUUCUGAGGGUGUCACAGAAUUGUUGAGUAUAAGACCAGUCCAGGAGUUCCAUCCAAAACAUCGUUGUUGAAAGUGUUUAAGUUUUGGUAAGAGACGUGUGUUUCUGGGAUUACUGGGAUUUCUUAUGGCUUAUAUUGUGGGGUAUCCUAUACACACUAUCCUCUGAAACUUCUAUAGACUGUAACAAUACUUGAACUUGCCAAACUACUAUAUAUAUAUAUAUCAGCACUUGAAUUGCUUUGGAGAUGCUCAAAUGAAAAAUUCUGUUCAUAUUUAACCUUAGAGCAACAUGCAGUGUUGCAGUGUGGUAUAGUAAUACCUUCAGUCUGCCUAAAUAGAGUGUUCAGUUUUGCUAACCACAGGACAGAUAAUCUCUAUGAUAUUAGAAAACAUAUUUGCAGUUUCAAGCAACCUUUGAGCCACGUCUUUGAGCCAGACACCAUGGUGGUGUCUGAAGCCUUCUUUGUUUUUGGCUCAAAGUUUGCUUUCUGAGGCAUUUCUUGCGAUAAGACUCUUCGAUAGUACGUAUCAAAGAACCUCCUCUCCCUACUAUAAAUUGGAGCGAGACACACCACAAAUAGGAGACAAAAACCCAACUUAGAUGCAAAUAUAAAUUUUAUACUGUUGAAGAACGAACUGCCUUGCUGUCUCAGCCAAGCCCAGCAUUACUUAAAAUCAUUUAUUAAUGUUUUGGCGUAAGACUCGAAGAAGGCUGGCCUGCAGGAUGAGCUGGUUUUAAUGUUUGUAGAGCAUCCCUGAGGAACAGAAGGAAUUUUACAAAUAUUCAGUGUGUUCACAAAAGCAUCACUGCCUUUAGUAAGUUCUCUACAGCAACGUAAUUCUUAAUUUAGAGCCUGUGGAACAUAUUCUGCUUUUAUCACCAAUAAGUCCAUUGUUUCAUCUGAAGGCUAUAACACACUUAAGAAAACAACCUCCCCCAGAAAAGCAACCAACGAACCAACCAACAGGGAGACUGCUAUGUGGUGUCAUAGCUGAGAAAUGAGAUAAAUCAGCUCAUGCCAAUUGCUCCAUUGCCACACCGAUGUCAGACCUGAAUGAGUUGCUGGGGGUUGCUUGUUGGCACCGUGUCUGUUUUUUCAUGCAAGGCUGUGUUGUAGACCUUAUUACUCCUCAAAAUGUGAUACAAACUGCUCUUUAUAAAGCUUCUGAAUAAAGCUGUUCUUUCAUGUCGUGCAAAAAGUGACCCAAAGCCUGUUCCAGCAGGAAAACCACAGGCUUGUUGCUCGCAACCUGCCACUCUUUUUGAAGGGCCCUUCACACAACCAGAUGAUGCGGGACUGCAGCCACAAAAAACUGCUCAGCUCCCCACCCCCACUUACCCUUCCCCAGUGAUCCUGCCACUGCUGCCCCUUGUAUCUGAGAGUGCAUCUCACUCAUAAGCAAGCCACAGCCAUGGAGCAGAUGCAUGUGGCUGUGCUGUUGCAACUGCUGCCAUGCAUCCCCAUCCCCUGGUGACCACAAAAAUCAGCUGUCCUCCAUGGCAAAGGAUGUGCUGCUGCUGCUGAGAUGGGUAUGCGGCUGGAGUGCAGGAUCUCCUCUGGCCUGGGUUACACAAAUCGGUUACACAAGUAAGUCCUGCACAAAAAAAAAUCCAUGCCACAUCUUUUCCCUAGAAGAGGAUCCACUGCAAAUACUCUUUUGUGCUAAAGGCAUAUGUUAUGCUAUAUCCCAUAUUUCCAUCAGGCUCCUAGGACGUGGCCGUGUGUGUCAAUUCUUAGCUGAAUGCAUGUUUUCAAAUACAUCUUCAGAGGACUGGAAAUGUCUGUUUAAAUAGAAAUCCUCUCUGAUUUGGAAAAAUACAAGUGAAAGUAUUGCAGCUAUCUUUCACCGAUAGCAUAGUAAAUCUGAAUGUGCGUUCUACAGACACAUCAGCCUACUUAUAUUUUGUAUUAAUACAAAGUAGACUGUCACUUCUAAUUUACUGGCUUAACAAGAAGUAGACUGCAAAGGUCAAAGUCAUCUUAAGUGCUUUAAAAUCAAGUAUUGACGAUUUUUCUCUCCUCUACCAUAUUAACUACCUCAUACAUCAAAACUGCUUGUAACUGCUUUCACAUAUGGUCCAAAUGCACAAAACCACAGUUUAGAGAAAGAACUUUCUAAAAGAGUAAAAUCUGCCAAACUGAAGCAAGCUUCCUCAUCACUGGUACCAUCUUUCUUUCUGAUUUAUGGAAAUGCUAUGCAGUUAAUCUUGCUCAAAAUUCAUCAAAUUGGAAAAAUAAAAGGGUUGUUCUCUCUGUACUACCAAUGGAAAAUGCUUAUGACCACGAGGCAAAAUGCAAGCAGACCAAAGUGCAGCAAUAAAGGACAUUUUCAACAGCA